GACAGAGGAUGCAAGCGUUAUCCGGAAUGAUUGGGCGUAAAGCGUCUGUAGGUGGCUUUUCAAGUCCGCCGUCAAAUCCCAGGGCUCAACCCUGGACAGGCGGUGGAAACUACCAAGCCUGGAGUACGGUAGGGGCAGAGGGAAUUUCCGGUGGAGCGGUGAAAUGCAUUGAGAUCGGAAAGAACACCAACGGCGAAAGCACUCUGCUGGCCGACACUGGACACUGAGAGACCGAAAGCUAGGGGAGCAAAUGGG
rnacentral:rRNA from 1 species